GACGAACGCUGGCGGCGUGCUUAACACAUGCAAGUCGAACGGAAAGGCCCUGCUUUUGUGGGGUGCUCGAGUGGCGAACGGGUGGGUAACACGUGAGUAACCUGCCCUUGACUUUGGGAUAACUUCAGGAAGCUGGGGCUAAUACCGGAUAGGAGCUCCUGCUGCAUGGUGGGGGUUGGAAAGUUUCGGCGGUUGGGGAUGGACUCGCGGCUUAUCAGCUUGUUGGUGGGGUAGUGGCUUACCAAGGCUUUGACGGGUAGCCGGCCUGAGAGGGUGACCGGCCACAUUGGGACUGAGAUACGGCCCAGACUCCUACGGGAGGCAGCAGUGGGGAAUAUUGCACAAUGGGCGGAAGCCUGAUGCAGCAACGCCGCGUGCGGGAUGACGGCCUUCGGGUUGUAAACCGCUUUCGCCUGUGACGAAGCGUGAGUGACGGUAAUGGGUAAAGAAGCACCGGCUAACUACGUG
rnacentral:rRNA from 1 species